rnacentral:rRNA from 1 species
UACGUAGGGGGCUAGCGUUGUCCGGAUUUAUUGGGCGUAAAGAGCGUGUAGGCGGCCAUUCAGGUCCGUUGUGAAAACUGGAGGCUUAACCUCCAGACGUCGAUGGAAACCGUAUGGCUAGAGUCCGGAAGAGGAGAGUGGAAUUCCUGGUGUAGCGGUGAAAUGCGCAGAUAUCAGGAAGAACACCCGUGGCGAAGGCGGCUCUCUGGGACGGUACUGACGCUGAGACGCGAAAGCGUGGGGAGCGAACAGG